CCCUUAGAUGUUCUGGGCGGCCCGCGCACUACAUUGGCACUGGCAACAAGAUCCUAGAUCUGGUAUUUCGGGGUAUUCUACCAACUGGUGUCGUGACUGGGAUUAACCCCUGCAAUUAUUGGUUAUGAACGAGGAAUUCCUUGUAAUCACGGUUUAUCAACCCGUGUUGAAUGCGUCCCUGCCCUUUGUACACACCGCCCGUCGCUCCUACCGAUGAAUCGUCCGGUGAAGUUCAUGGAGUCGCGGCUGCUCCAGCUGUUUUCGAAGUGAAAUGGACCUCAUGAUUUAGGGGAAGGAGAAGUCGUAACA
rnacentral:rRNA from 1 species